rnacentral:lncRNA from 1 species
CAGUGAGCCCUCUAACAAGGGUAAAGACGUUGUAUCAGAGCACUAAGAAUAGGAGUAUUUCAAACUCCUGAUACUGUGAGUAACCUUACUAUCGUCUUAAUUAUCUAAAGUGGUUUUUAUCCGAUUUUGUGAUUUUAUGGAAAAUGAGUUUAAAUGGCAAAUCUUUAUGUUUUAUGAGCAAAAUGUGAUUAAAUGAAAUGAUUGUAUAAAAUUUUCUUGAAAUUGAAUGAUGGUUUUGGAAAAUGGAGUAAUUGGAGACUAAUUGCUGUGUUAUAAAUCAUGGUUUGAAUUGAAUGGCUUAUGAUAAUAUUGGCAUGAAUGGUUGAUUUGGUAAAUGUGUUGAAAAUGUAUGAACUGUUAAUUUACCUUGAGAGGCUGUAAAAUAAAAUAAUUGCCAUGUCAUGCUAUCGCAAAUUUUAUUAAAUUGGUAGGUUAUAAAUUUGUCGCUGCAGUGAACGGGUUCCAUGGACCAGCGUAUUAGAGGGGCAUGGUAACCGUAUUAUAUUCAUACCUUAGUAUGAGAGGUGCAGAUGGAUAACUCUUGAGGUUAACACUUUAGAGUUCACUUCACGCCAAACUACCACGUGAGGGUGAACUCAGCCAACGCCAAGGAAUGGUUAUGUUUUCAAAAUAAAAACAUGAUUUAUGUGUACAUAACUUUUUAACAGCCUUGGUGGACUUGGUUGGGAUAGCCCUCAAUCAAGGUAUCCCUAAUAACUGAGUAUGAGAAUGAUUUUGGCACGAGCCAAAGUUUUAAGAAAUUCAUAAGCCAUGUUGAUUACUCAAUUUAUAUGAAUUGAUUUUAUUUGGUUGAAAUGAGUUGAAAGGUGAUGAAUUACAAUAUGUUAAACUAUUUUAUUUGUUUCCAUUUACUCAACUUUAAAUAUUUUAGAUGGUAUUUGUUUACUUACUGAGAUUAUAUAAUCUCACCACCCUCAUUUCCACCCAUUUCAAGCUCAGGAUAGUCGGUAGAUAGCUCAUUUCGUUGAGAGCUAUAGUUGGAUUUGCAUCUUCCAAACUGUAGGUUCACAGUCUUCCUUACUUUUAGUUAUUCGGGGGCCUACUAGUUAUUGUAAAUUAAAUUAAAUACUCUAGCUUACUGUGUUACAAUAUGUAUGAAUUUAUUUUGCUUUUACGCUGCAAAAAUUAUUUACGUAUAACUCUAAAAAUAUUGUUUUAUAGGAAAAUAGAAUAUUUUAUUGAAUAUUUCUUUUAUUUCUUUUAUUUUUUAAUUAUAUCCAAAUAAACAUAAUUUCAUUUUAAAUGAAGGUUUUAGAUGUUUAAACUUAUCUUUGAUUAUGAAUUAUGUGUUUUUUACUCGCAUACUACGUUUUUAGCAGAUUUAGAGAUUUUUGAGGAAAAAUGACCAAAAUGCCCCUGUGAGAAAAAAAUUGUUUUUUUAUUGUUUUGAUUUGGAAAUAGUUUAUAAUCUCUCAAAACAUAAUUUUAGUGACUAAUACUCACAGGAGAAGCGAGAAAAACUGAUGUUAAGCCUUACGAGGUUUCGAUUGACAUUUUGUGAAUGAAUGUCUAUAGGGACGUCGUGACGGUUGUCACGAGCUCGAUGGGAGUUCUGGAUCGUGACACCUUACUUGAUUUCUUGUAAUUCUAAGAAGUUCUAGUCUUUCCCUUCAUUUAGUUGAUUAUGAGCUCUACAAGCUCUAAAAGGUUGAACAAAAAAUUGUUUUAGUACUAUUCACCCUUUUCUAGCACUCCAACGGGACCAAUAUAUCAUACAUAACGUUAUCCGUAUAAAAUGCCAAACAUAGGCUACAUUAAUAUAACAUGUUCGUUAUCCAUAAACAUAAUCAAAUCCAUAAAUAUAAACAUAUGACCGAUUUGUUAGUGGAACGUGACUGGCCCUCUAGGCAUCUAAUGGCUGCUGAACACCUAUGAAGGAAUGAAGAUUGGACACCAGUAUCCGUGACAUUAGCUUUUAUCAAUAUGCUAUCACUGAUAUGCAACAAAAUAAAUGGGAAAAAUAAUGUGUGAGUCACAAAUUCUUCGUAAGUGGAUACGGGAAAGGGACAAGCUAGGGGAUAAGAGUGUUUUGUAAACAUGCAGUUAUAAUCUCAUGCCAAUUAUAAUCAAUUUAAACUUUAAUCUCAUGAAACAUGGUGUUUAAACAUGUUUGGAAAUAGCAUAAUUGAUGUAACCAACUGUGAAUGACCACUAGAAAACCUUUUUACCUAUGAAAAGCUUUCAAACAAGUCAAUGCAUUCGAUUCUGGAACUCAUUUAUUGAUAUAAUGAACAUCUAUUGAUAGAUUGGAAACACAAUGCUUCUUGUGGCAUUUUGUAUGCUAUCUAUCGAUAGAUGUUCUACAUUUAUCAUAGAUAGCCUCUGAACCUCUAUUUUAUGGGCAAAAUUGUGUAUUUUUUCCAUUCUUUAGGUCCUUUUACCUCUUAGAACUAUCUUUACGACUCAUUUCAUUUCUCCAAUCACAUACUCAUGCCAAUAUCGAGUAUAGAUCAUAACCAUUAUUCAAGAUGAACUUAACAUGCAUUAUAUCAUAAAGAUAACAAUCAUAAUGAUCCCAUUAACAUUUACCUCACACAUUGUGAUGGUAUAACCCCCAUCAACCUUGCGUUCGCAAUAUACAACCCCAUUACACCUUCGGCGUUUAUGAUGGAUCAUAGGAGUGAAGUUGUCAUUACACCCCGUGUGAGUGGAAUCAAUCGCACUGGUUAAGCUUUUAUACUCAUAGCAUUUAGUAUGAGGAAUGUCCAGCACAUACAUGCUUACUCAUCUCAUAAGGUAUAUGGAAUUUCCAUAUCAUAUACACAUCUCAUGGCAUUUCCUCAUGCCUACUCUUUCAACACAUUGUAUGUAACACACGCAUUACAUACAUAGUCUCAUAGCAUUCGUCAUGCUUCCUCAAACAUCUCAUGUAGUAUAUGGAAAACACAAACAUAAUAUCUUAGAUGAAAAUCAUCAUACAAGACAUCACACAUUUCAUGCCUUAACAUAUCUAGCAUACACCUCAUACAUUCAUACAUUAAUCUUAAAUCAUAUCUCGUACCCACACUAGUCUGAAAACCGGAGUAAUCAAGUGGACUCAAACAUAAGGUGCUUGUCCCCUUUUGUUGAAAACUAAUACAUAAUAUCAUAUUUACGUACAUAGUAGGUUGAAAAUGAAUUUUAAAAUAUUUUUCUUAUCCAUAAAUAAAAUUUCAGUUCAUAAGUAUUUGCACAAAAUCAUAUUCACCAAUAAUCCUCAAAUCAUGCUUCAACUUUACAUAUCAAAAUAAUUUUGAAAGUGCUGUAUCCACUCAUCUUAUAGGGAAGCUUGAUUACAACUCCAAUUCCGUGUAAUUUGGUGUAUUGUCAAGAGUUCCUAUCACACAAUAUUCAUAACAAUCAAUUUCUAAACUAAUAAUCUUGGAAUAAUUAAUAUAGCAACUUAAAAAUCUAUUUGCUUUCGACUAUAGCCACUUUCUCUCUCUAGAUUAAGCUAGAAAUGCAUAAAUUUUCUAAACUUACCUUAUAUGAGCAUAGAUGUUGAAGGAAAUCUCAAAACCUUAGCUUUAAUCCUUAACAAAAAUUUCUAGGCAAAAAUAAUAAAUUUGUAGCGUUAAAAGUGUGAGCUUUAAAGGUUUUAUAGGAUAAAAAUGUCAUUUUUAGCUUUAAACUUCAAAACUAAGAUCAAAAUCAUCAAAAGCAGCAAUUUUCAUUAAAAAUGGGUUGAAAAGGUUUUAGAGUGGUUUUACCUUUCCAAAAACAGCUAAGGGUUGAGAAACCCUUGGGUAUUGGGUCAUAUUUAUAGUUUGGGAAGUGAAAAUAUGCUUUUACCCCUUUUAUUUUUUUUAAAACGACGUCAUCUAUUGAUAGAUCGAGGCUAUCUAUCGAUAGAUGAGCUUUAGAACCCUUUCUGGAAGCUUUUUGCUUGCUAACUUGCAAAGAUAAUUAAGAAAUAUCCAUAAUCAUCUUACCUUGCUUGACUUUUAACUCAUUCAAAAAUAUAACUUUAAACUUUUCAUUAAUCCAAGAUAACAAAUCUACCAUAUGAAAUUCAAAUGCCAUUAAUUCUUUGAACUUAAAUUUUUAAGCAUAAAUAGAGAAAACCUUACCUAAGCUUUGGAUUUCCAGCUACCAUUAACUACAAGUCUAAGUUAACAAAUAACAUCCAUUUACUUUCAUAAACCUCUAUAGAUACCUCAUACAAGCUUUACAUAAUGCAUAAGGAUUAUAACACGUCAAACUUAUUUAUUUCUUAUGUAUACCACUCCACCAAUUGCUAUUUGAAGCAUUCUUUUUACAAUUCUGCUCAACUAAGCUUAAUACCCCUUUUUAACAAUUUUUCUCAUGCUCAUGGUAAUUUAGUUCAGCUUAACCUAUCUAGGUAAGCUCAUCUAAAUAAAUCCCAUUUCCAUUAUAGAACAGGACUAAUAAUUCUCCAACUCCAUACACAAUCUCAUUAACUCACUUUAGCAAUUUAUUUUCUAACCUUAAUUCACCAUUUCAAAAAUAUAAUUCAAUUGUCCCUUACCUUAGAGAAUCAAGGUAGCUUAGUAUCAAAUCAUAAUUUCUAUCUUGCCAAAUGGAAGUGAGCUGCAAACACAAAAAUAAAAUUUUAAACUAAUUAAUUUGAUUCCAAACAACCUAACAAAAUGCUUUCUCUUGACUCACUUACGAUCAUUCCAACAAAGCUUCAAUUACUAUUUCUGUUUGUUAAACUCCAAUCGAGCUCUCCUUUUCUUAUUUUGCAUUUUUCAAACUCCAACUGAGCUAUCCAUUUAAACAAAUCGAACCUCUAUCUUUGUUUUUCAUCAAACCAAGCUCCCAUAUUUGUUUUCUUCAUUUCUUUAUCCUUUUGUUUGUCUUUUGAUUUCCAUGGUUUAGUAUUCUCUUUUCUAAGCUUUCAAAGGGAAGAACGACAACAACUUUUCUAGGGAAUUGGAGCUACAAAUCAAUUAAGAAUUCAAGAGCAACUGAGAGAGAUUAGCAAUCAACCAGACUACGACAUUAAUUUAUUUCUCUCCUUUGGUGUUAUUCUUAUUUUCUUGUAUUGAAUUCAUGACCAAAUUUCUUUGGAUAGUGUUUUAUUUAGAUAUUAUUAACUAAUUUGUUUAUCUAGGAUUAUGGUGGAUUUCAACAUGUAAUCUGAAUAUUGGUUUUUCUGUUAUUUAUCAUGAAUGGGUAUCGUUUUACUUAUUCAAAUAUGUUCUUCAUGCCUUUAAUUGCCAGAUCAACAAUUAAUUGAUUUGUGAAUCUAAUUGAGACUCAACAGAGAGAUUUUAGGUUGGAUUAAGAUUUGAAUAGUGUAUGUUCAUGUCACUUAAGUGAUCUGAUUCGCGAUUUGGGUAAACAUACGUCAAUUGUCAUGCAUAGCCAAAUUAGGAUACUUGCUUAAUGAACUUAAUUUAAUUGAUCCCUAUAGACAUAUAAUGAGCUGAUUAAGUUAAGUAUUUGUACAAGCAUCUUGAUGAAGCCUUGUCCAUAGCUUGGGAUUCUAGGAUUCUAGGUUAGUAAAAUCACCCAGGAAACAUAAAUAACUACAAAAGCUGGUAUCAGAUGAAAUGUUGAAUAAACCUAUGAUCUUAGGUUUUUAAUCUACUGUUUUUCUUAACAAACUUAAUUUUUGCUAAUUAAUUUUGUAUUUCUUUCAAAUUUUGUUUUUAUUAGCUUUUCAAUUUUUUGAUUUCUUAAAUAAGGUUAAUGUCAUGACCCAAAUCUAGGGGUUCGUGAUAGGUACACGACUAAAGCAAGCAAGCUCAAUAGACCCAAGUAAGCUUCAGAAUCCAAAAUCAUAUAACUGUGAGACCUCGACCUCUAUAGGCUCGUAACUAGGUGUAGACGCGAUAAUACAAGUCAGGGGUAAUUUCAUUAUUUCCUUAGUGAGCCCCUAGAAGUAGGCUUUCAAACAAUAUUAAGGCCUAAGUAGGCCUAAGGCAUAAAUGAAUGAUGAAAAUAAGGGUAAAAUGACGAAGGAAAUAAAAAUAAUGAUGAUUUCCAAGGUAGGGGCAAAAUAGUCAUUUUUCAUCUUGAGUAGAAAUUUUAAGUUUUCAUGAAUCCGAGUAUUUCUAGACUAUUAUGAACUUUGUCCUAGUGUCAAAAGAGUAAAAAGAUUACACCAAGGAUUGGAGGAGAACAAGCCAACUUGUUAAGAGCAUUUUCGUAAUUUGAGUAAAGAUUGGAUAAGUUUUAGCUAUAAAUAUAAUUUUUCCAGCAGCUUCUUCUUCUUCUUCCUCCCAUUUCACGUUUCGUUCAUCCUCCAUGGAAGCUUGUUUUGAAACCUCUAUAACUUCUCUUAAGCUAGCUCAAAUUUUCAUGCUUUUGUGAACCCUUUCAUAGAACCUUUUGUGCUCUUUCACUCUCUCACUUUAAAACCCUUGAAAAGUCUUACUUCCAUACUUCCUCUCACUAGCUAGGUGUUUUACAAAGAGAAAGAGGGAGCUUUUAUAAUAGCUUGGAAGAAUUUUGAAAAAAAAUUCAAUUGCAAACCCACCAAGGUGAAUGAACUUGCAUUAAAAUGCUUUGGGAUUAGGGCAUAUGUGUUUGAUUAAAUCCAUUGAAAUAUUUUAUCUGUCUUUCUCUAAAAUAUGCAUGGGAACAAGCUUUUAAUGAAACGUUUUGCGUUGUGGAAUGCGACUGUGAUGAAUCCAUGUGCUCUGUGUUAUGUUGAUAUAAAUAUAUCUAAAUAUAUAUGAUAUGUAUUGAUAGUAAUACUGUUUGUAAUUAAAACCAAGUAUGUGCAUGAUGUGGAGGAUGCACACGGCGAUUUUAGUUGUGCAUGAUGUGGGGGAUGCACAUGAUGACUCCAGCUAUGUGCGUGAUGUGGGGGUUGCACAUGAGCUGGGUGAAGCGGUGGUGGUAUUGGUGGUUAUGUAUGUAUAUAUAUAUAUAUAUAUAUAUAUAUAUAUAUAUAUAUAUANUAUUUAUGCAAUAGAAAGUUCAUGAAUAUGGUAUAUGGUUGUAAUGUAUGUGAAAUCUUGCAUGUUGAACCUUGGAAAUUGUUGAGUAUUUUCAAGUUGAUUUUGUCAUUGCAACAGAAUGGCCUUUGCUUAACAUAAUGAGGAUUUUUCUUGGUGUUCUGUUUCUUGCUGCAACGAGAAACUCUCGAGUUGGGAGGCUCGCUGCAGCCUUGUAACUCACUGCAGCGAGAUGUCUACAGGAAAUUUUGUUGUAACGAGAAUUCAUCCUCGCUGCAACGAGAAACCUUCUGUUGUGCUUACUACCUUGUUUGGUUGCUGCCCUAUUUUUCACUUCUUUAGCACCAUUGUUGAUCAUGGACUUCCAACAUUAAAGAAUUAAUUGAUUAAGUUUGCAUGAGGGGUUUUAGUGAGAAACCCUUGGCCAGUUGAGAAACUCUCAGCCGAUAAAAUAAUUUGAGCCCAAAUUUUGCUGCAGAAUGCCUUUCCGUUACAGCGAGAACCUGUCAUUUCACUUGACUUGCUUGAAUGCUACUAAAGUUUUCACUCUUCAAAUUCUUUGUUAUGUAUGAUCCUUCAUCAUCAAGUGAUUAGCCAAUUAAGGGUUUAAUGAGGGGUUUAAAUAAGAAUUAAACUAAAUUGCAUUGUUUUUGAAAAUAAGUGCAUCAUGAUUUCUUAAACUUUUCUUAUCUUUUGCUUGUUCCCUUCCUUUGUUCACUCACUAGGUUUAUACUCAUUGUUUUCAACUUCAUGUUUUCAGAUCAAGAGAUAGUCGGUAACUAGGUUGAGGUGUCCUCAUAGAUUCGUUUCCUUGGUAGGUAUCUCGGCAUUCAAUAGUUGUACUUUCGCUCGAGUCUCUCCGCUGGAAGUCGAGUAUCCCUUUUGUUGUGUAUAGACAAACCCGAUGUAAAUUAUUAAGAUGUAUGUUUUAGACGAUAUAUGUAUAUUUUGAUUGGUAAUGCCACUAUGAAUUGGCAAUGGUUAGCAUUAUUUUGAAUUGGAUUUAUAAAAUGUGACUUUAGCAACUUUUGAUGGAAUGAUGGAUAGGUCAUAUAAAUAAGCUUUCUUGAGCUUAGUGGGCUACGUCCAUUGGGCCCAUGCGCCAGUCAUAGCUCGAAAAUUGGGUCGUGACAAUAACAUAAGCCAAGGGAUUUGAUAAUCAAAUAUUCAAAAUAAAACCAAAUAUAAUACAUUAUCCAUGGAACAUAAUUCAUACUAAUAUUCUUAAGGCCAUGCAUUGGCCAUCAAAUCAGGUUUGUACAUAACAACCUUUAUACAAUUCAAAUGGCAAAUCAUGCCUAACUGUGAAACCUCAACCUCCAUAGAUGUGUAAUUAGAGGUAGAUUGAUAAGUGCAUCAAAUUCACAUAUUUAAUGAGAGAUUAAAUACCUAAUUAGUCUAAGUUGGACUAGAUUUAGGAUCGAAUUUAGGUAUUUUUAUUUAUUUUAUUAGUUUAGUUUAAUUUAUGUUUAAAUGUUUAUUUUAAGUUAAUGAUGUUAGUUUUACGUUAUUUAUAAUUAUUUUGUGUUUUUAUAGGAGUAGGAUCAAAAAUAAUUUCAAUUGGUCAAGAAAGGUGCAUAAUGGACUGUUACUCUAUUUGCAUAUGUUUUGACUUUUCAAGUAUAUCUCCCACUACAGAACUUCAAAUGACAUGAUUUUUAAACCAUUAAAAAGCUAAGAGGUGGGGCUACAACUUUGAUGUUUACGACUUUGUCCAGUUCUGAUAGGAAAGUGGUCAAAAUCUUUGUCAAAGUUAAAGCACUGCACUAGAAGAAUAAAAAUGGGCAUUUUUGUAAAUUACGUGAAACUUUGAUUGACUUUAGAGAUAAAUAUCUAAAGUUCCAGCACCUUCUUUAUCUUCCUCUCAUUUCUUCUCUUCUUUUUGCAGAACUUUGCAUCCUCCAUAGAAAGAAACCUUAAAACCUCCAUAAUCUUCUCAUACUAGCUCUAAAAUUCAUGUUUUUGCACACUUUUUCAUAGGGUUUUUCGUUUUCUUUCACUUUUUCACCUCAAAAACCCUCAAAAAAAGUUUUUCCUCUGCACUUUCUCUCACUAUCUGAACAUUUUUAGAGAGCGAAGCUCUUCAAAUUAGCUUGAAAACUCUUGAAGGAGUUUUCCUCUUUUAAUCCUCACUAAGAAAAUUCAACUACAAGUCCACCAAGGUAAGAAAUGAGUUAGGGUUGAUUUUAAGUUGUUAAAGAUGGCUAAUAAUUAGAUUUGUGGGCUGUUAUAUUUUUUAUGGUUAUAUUGUAUGUGAUAGGUUCCAACGAGGCCCCACAUGUCCAUUUGGAGCAUUAGUUGAAGUUAAAGUUGAUCAAAAGAAUCAACAAGAACAAGUGAGUGAACUUGCAUUAAAUUAUUUUUGGGAAAUACAUAUGUGUUGAGAUGGAGCACUUAAAUGAAUAUAUUUGACUUUUUUUCUCUAAAUCAUGCUUGGGAACAAGCCCUUGAUGAAACAUUUUAUGUUGUAAAAUGUGUAAUGUGAUGAACCCAUGUGUUCAUAUAUUCUGAUGAUAUAUAUGCUAUGCUUUGAAUGAUAAUAUUAUGUGAUAAUUGUAACCGCGCGUGUGUGGUGUGGGAGUGCACAUGCCGGUGAUGAUGGGUGAUUCCAGCUAUGUGCGGUGUGGGAGUGCACAUGAGCUGAUGACCGGUGGAUGAUGAUUCCAACUAUGUGCGGUGUGGGAAUGCACAUGAGCUGAUGACUGGUGGAUGAUGAUUCCAGCUAUGUGCGGUGUGGGAGUGCACAUGAGCUGAUGACCAGUGGAUGAUGAUUCCAAGUAUGUGCGGUGUGGGAGUGCACAUGAGCUGAUGACUGGUGGAUGAUGAUUCCAGCUAUUUUCGGUGUGGGAGUGCACAUGAGCUGAUGAGCUGGUGGUUGUAUACAUGUUUACACAUUCCAUAGAAAUGUUAGAGAAAAUAUUAUGUGAUUGCAAUGAAUGUUGAAUGUUGAAAUUGUUAAUUGCUUCCAAAUUGAUUUUCAAUACAACGAGAAACUCUCUGUCUUACCUGUCUUGCUAGGAUAUUUGCUGUAGUUUCACUCUUUUCAACUUUGUUGUUGAUCAUAGAUCCUUCACUUUAAGGGAUUAAAUAAUAAAAGGUUGAAUUAAAUGGCUUUACAAAAAAUUAAGCUAAAUUGCAUUGUUUUUAACAUAAGUGCAUCAUGUUUUCUACAACUCUCCGUAUCGUUUGCUUGUUCCCUUCCUAUGUUCACUCACUGGGUUUAUACUCACUCUUUUCAACUUCAUGUUUUCAGAUUCAGAGGCAGUUGGGAUCUAGAUUGAGGUGUCCACUUGUAUUCACCUUUUUGGUAAGUACUAUGGUAUUUAAUAAUUGUACCCGUAUCUAAAGUCACUCCACUGGUAGUCAAUGGUUUUUGCAUGUGUACAUGUGCACUUGAUGUAAAUUACUAGAACUUAUGUUAUAACCAAUGUAUGUAUAUUUUGAUUGGUGAUGCCACCAUGAGUUGGCAAUGGAUGAUAUUAUUUUUGGGAUGAUACAAAUAUAAGUAUUUGAU